GUUAGACGACUUUUAGCUGCAGGCUAUACGGAAUGCAGGAUCCCCACAGUGCCCACCACAUCACCUUGUCCAUGCUCGGCAGCGAGACUGAUCUCACGCAAUUAUGCCUGCCUUGCUGGACACAAUAAUAAGAUUUCUCUGUCCCGAGAUAACCCUUCAAUAAUCGACGAAGAUUCAUCCAGGCCGAUCGCUCAUCGGUUCGGCUGAGGCCAUCACCUGAAUAAACGGUGUGGGUGAAAUUGCUGAGGUUGCUCCGUGCGGAAGAAGAGAUAACAGCCGCUGAUAAGGGUCGACCCUCAACGUUUUUUUUUAGCAAUCUACCAAUCGGGAUAGCGGUUGCAGCUGUGUGAUAAAUGUCUCAUGUGGGAAGAGGUUGCGAUAGUGAACGCUCGCAACUGCGCUCUGCAGCGAAGAAGUUCAUCACGCCAGGAGGAACCGAACAUAAAUACAUGUACUUAUGGCUCUGCUGGUGCGUUUGAGUAAUGAGUGUCCGUGUUUAUAAUCACGGCUGAAGAACGCGGAAUACUGCACGAGCAUGUGACCGUAUAUGGAAGUCCGGAAACGGGGUUUGGGGUCGAGGCUACCUCACCAGAAACUGAUGGCGAGUCUUCAACCACACCCUUUGGUUUGGGUGCUGCUCCAAUACGAAUAUUCUGAACAGACUUGUCACAUCGAUUACUUUACUGUUUAUAGAAUAGUGUAACAUUCGAAGAAGCACUUUUAAUAUUCCUAUAGGUUAGAAUUAAAUUUGAGCUGCACGGACGCGCAUAAGCACUCCACACUUCAGCUGGGUAUCAGCGAAUGGAACAGGUUGCCAGCUGAUGUCGUCGCACUGCCGGACCUUAGCAGUUUUCAAGGUGUCUGCGAAGAAAUGUUUCUUUAGAAUACAAUUAUAAACUGUGUAAAUACUUU